GAUGAAGAACGUAGCGAAAUGCGAUAAGUAAUGUGAAUUGCAGAAUUCAGUGAAUCAUCGAAUCUUUGAACGCACAUUGCGCCCGCUGGUAUUCCGGCGGGCAUGCCUGUUCGAGCGUCAUUUCAACCCUCAAGCUCUCCGGAGUUUGGUGUUGGGGCGCCUGGGGCUUUUCGACCUCAGGGCCCUCAAGUCCAUCGGCGGGACCGCCAGGACACUGAGCGCAGUAGUAUUAUUUCGCUCGGUAGGACCUUCCACGGCGGGUCGAUCUGGCCGCUAAACCCCCCAAUUCUCACCAAAGGUUGACCUCGGAUCAGGUAGGAAUACCCGCUGAACUUAAGCAUAUCAAUAAGCGGAGGA
rnacentral:misc_RNA from 1 species